rnacentral:rRNA from 1 species
UACGAAGGGGGCUAGCGUUGCUCGGAAUCACUGGGCGUAAAGGGUGCGUAGGCGGGCCUUUAAGUCAGGGGUGAAAUCCUGGAGCUCAACUCCAGAACUGCCUUUGAUACUGAGGAUCUUGAGUUCGGGAGAGGUGAGUGGAACUGCGAGUGUAGAGGUGAAAUUCGUAGAUAUUCGCAAGAACACCAGUGGCGAAGGCGGCUCACUGGCCCGAUACUGACGCUGAGGCACGAAAGCGUGGGGGGCAAACAGG